AUUUGAGGCUGCCUGGCCAUGAGGGUAUUGCAGUAAUACCGGCAAAAGAAAUGCAAAUAUUUUUUUCAGUAUAAACGGAUAUUACUCUGCAAUACCAGCACCGGCCAGUAGGGGUCACUGUGUAUGGAGAGAGGCAGGGAUAAGAAGUUACAGCAUAUCCCUCCCUGCCUAUCUCUACUCACUGAUAUGCAGGGGAGCAGCUACACAGCACAGAGAGUUUAGACAGCAGCUCCCAGCCUGCAGAGUUAGAGUACAGCUCAGGGAAGUGAGGGUUGAGGGGAAAGGCAGUGACCCCAUUUCUCCCAGUGUCCCCAAAAGUCUCUGUGUCCCAAUGUCUCCCAGUGUCCACAUGUCUGUAUCCACAAGUGCCUUCAUGCCUCCCAGUGUCCCCAUGUCUCUCAGUGUCCCCUAGUAUCCUAGUAACACGGGACACACUGAGACAUGGGGACACUGGGAGUUUAGGUGACUGGUCUUCCAAUUCUUUGGACACACAGACUGCCUUUUUGGGCAUGUUCGCCCAUUUUGACACUUCUGGUUACGUGAUUCGAAUCAGUGGCCCACCCUUUUACCCCGCCCAUUGACUUCCUGCUUCACUGGACACUGCUGUUAGGGGGUAUGGAUUUCAUAAAAAUUUUUUUUAUGAAAUCAUAAACUAGAUAAAGAGAUUAGCAUAGAGUAUGUGUUUAGCUGCAUCCUUUGAGUUUCCCUCCAACACCAACUCCAUCAGAGACAUGACGAUUGAGAGGUAUGACUGUUUUAGUGUUUUUGGUCUAUAAGAUUCUGUAAUUAGGCCAAUCAUAAUUGUCAGCACCAGGCCCACUGGGCUCUUAAUCUGGCCAUGGACAUGAACACCUGAAAUAUAUUUGAUUCAGCAGUUUAUUUAGUGUAAUUUAAAUACCUUUGCUGUAGUAGAAUUGUGGUAUGACCUAAUGUUACAUAUAGCUUCAGCAGCAUGCAAUGAACUUGAAAAUGUGCUACAUUCCAAUCAAACUCAAAAUGUCCACCACCUUUAGCCAUGGAGCCACUACAUUUCAUUAAUAAUAAUCAACUCUUUCUUCACUUCUGGAUUUUGGUAUAAAAAAUUUAUUAAAGCAUUGGUUCUUACUCCCUGGGUUGAGACCCAAAAUGUGUUAUUCAAUGUUAUUUCAGUGUGUCCCUG